rnacentral:rRNA from 1 species
UGNNAGUCGAGCGGUAGCACAGAGAGCUUGCUCUCGGGUGACGAGCGGCGGACGGGUGAGUAAUGUCUGGGAAACUGCCUGAUGGAGGGGGAUAACUACUGGAAACGGUAGCUAAUACCGCAUAACGUCGCAAGACCAAAGAGGGGGACCUUAGGGCCUCUUGCCAUCAGAUGUGCCCAGAUGGGAUUAGCUAGUAGGUGGGAUAACGGCUCACCUAGGCGACGAUCCCUAGCUGGUCUGAGAGGAUGACCAGCCACACUGGAACUGAGACACGGUCCAGACUCCUACGGGAGGCAGCAGUGGGGAAUAUUGCACAAUGGGCGCAAGCCUGAUGCAGCCAUGCCGCGUGUAUGAAGAAGGCCUUCGGGUUGUAAAGUACUUUCAGCGGGGAGGAAGGCGAUAAGGUUAAUAACCUUGUCGAUUGACGUUACCCGCAGAAGAANNNNNGGCUAACUCCGUGCCAGCAGUCGCGGUAAUACGGAGGGUGCAAGCGUUAAUCGGAAUUACUGGGCGUAAAGCGCACGCAGGCGGUCUGUCAAGUCGGAUGUGAUAUCCCCGGGCUCAACCUGGGAACUGCAUUCGAAACUGGCAGGCUAGAGUCUUGUAGAGGGGGGUAGAAUUCCAGGUGUAGCGGUGAAAUGCGUAGAGAUCUGGANGAAUACCGGUGGCGAANGCGGCCCCCUGGACAAAGACUGACGCUCANGUGCGAAAGCGUGGGGAGCAAACAGGAUUANAUACCCUGGUANUCCACGCCGUAAACGAUGUCGACUU